UGAGCACGUAGGUGGGUUUGUAAGUCAGAUGUGAAAGCCUUCUGUUCAACGGAAGAAUUGCAUCUGAAACUGCUAAUCUUGAGUAUAGGAGGGGAGAAUGGAACUUCUGGUGGAGCGGUGAAAUGCGUAGAUAUCAGAAGGAACGCCGGCGGCGAAAGCGAUUCUCUGGCCUAUUACUGACACUCAGUGUGCGAAAGCUAGGGGAGCAAACGGGAUUAGAUACCCCGGUAGCAGCAAU
rnacentral:rRNA from 1 species